rnacentral:rRNA from 1 species
AGGGUUUGAUCAUGGCUCAGAUUGAACGCUGGCGGCAGGCCUAACACAUGCAAGUCGAGCGGCAGCACGGGAAGCUUGCUUCCUGGUGGCGAGCGGCGGACGGGUGAGUAAUGCAUAGAAAUCUGCCCGGUAGUGGGGGAUAACCUGGGGAAACCCAGGCUAAUACCGCAUGCGUCCUACGGGAGAAAGCAGGGGAUCUUCGGACCUUGCGCUAUCGGAUGAGUCUAUGUCGGAUUAGCUUGUUGGUGAGGUAAUGGCUCACCAAGGCGACGAUCCGUAGCUGGUCUGAGAGGAUGAUCAGCCACAUCGGGACUGAGACACGGCCCGAACUCCUACGGGAGGCAGCAGUGGGGAAUAUUGGACAAUGGGCGAAAGCCUGAUCCAGCCAUGCCGCGUGUGUGAAGAAGGCCUUCGGGUUGUAAAGCACUUUCAGUGGGGAAGAAAGCCUUGGGGCUAAUACCCUCGAGGAAGGACAUCACCCACAGAAGAAGCACCGGCUAACUCCGUGCCAGCAGCCGCGGUAAUACGGAGGGUGCGAGCGUUAAUCGGAAUUACUGGGCGUAAAGCGCGCGUAGGCGGUCUGGUAAGCCGGUUGUGAAAGCCCCGGGCUCAACCUGGGAACGGCAUCCGGAACUGUCAGGCUAGAGUGCAGGAGAGGAAGGUAGAAUUCCCGGUGUAGCGGUGAAAUGCGUAGAGAUCGGGAGGAAUACCAGUGGCGAAGGCGGCCUUCUGGACUGACACUGACGCUGAGGUGCGAAAGCGUGGGUAGCAAACAGGAUUAGAUACCCUGGUAGUCCACGCCGUAAACGAUGUCGACUAGCCGUUGGGCUCCUUGAGAGCUUUGUGGCGCAGUUAACGCGAUAAGUCGACCGCCUGGGGAGUACGGCCGCAAGGUUAAAACUCAAAUGAAUUGACGGGGGCCCGCACAAGCGGU